AGUUGAAUUGCUGGGUCAUAUGAUAAGUUUAUGUUUAUAAGAAACUGCCAAACUAUUUUCCAAAGUAGUUGUAUCGUUUUGCACUUCUCUCAGCAAC
rnacentral:pre_miRNA from 1 species